rnacentral:rRNA from 1 species
CAGCAGCCGCGGGAAUACGAAGGGUGCAAGCGUUAAUCGGAAUUACUGGGCGUAAAGCGUGCGUAGGCGGUGAGUUAAGUCUGCUGUGAAAUCCCCGGGCUCAACCUGGGAAUGGCAGUGGAUACUGGCUCGCUAGAGUGUGUCAGAGGAUGGUGGAAUUCCCGGUGUAGCGGUGAAAUGCGUAGAGAUCGGGAGGAACAUCAGUGGCGAAGGCGGCCAUCUGGGACAACACUGACGCUGAGGCACGAAAGCGUGGGGAGCAAACAGGAUCAGAUACCCCCGUAGUCCCUGUCUCUUAUAC